rfam:Mus musculus chromosome 1, GRC primary reference assembly.
ACUGCUGAGCCAUCUCUCCAGCCCCCAUAAUAAGUCUUUUAAAUGUAAAAUUCAUUAUAGGAGUUGGGGAGAUGGCUCAGUAGA